UUACGGAUAGUUUAAAGAACAUGAGUUUUUGGGACUUAUAGUGGGGUUAAUUCUUCUCUGUGAG
rnacentral:tRNA from 1 species